UACAGAGGUCUCAAGCGUUGUUCGGAUUCAUUGGGCGUAAAGGGUGCGUAGGUGGCGUCGUAAGUCGGGUGUGAAAUUUCGGAGCUCAACUCCGAAACUGCAUUCGAUACUGCGGUGCUUGAGGACUGGCGAGGAGACUGGAAUUUACGGUGUAGCAGUGAAAUGCGUAGAGAUCGUAAGGAAGACCAGUGGCGAAGGCGGGUUGCUGGGCUGACACUGACGCUGAAGCGCGAAAGCUAGGGGAGCGAACGGG
rnacentral:rRNA from 1 species